CCUACGGGAGGCAGCAGUGAGGAAUAUUGGUCAAUGGGCGCGAGCCUGAACCAGCCAAGUAGCGUGAAGGAUGACUGCUCUACGGGUUGUAAACUUCUUUUAUAAAGGAAUAAAGUGAGGCACGUGCGCCUUUUUGUACGUAUUUUAUGAACAAGGAUCGGCUAACUCUGUGCCAGCAGCCGCGGUAAUACGGAGGAUCCGAGCGUUAUCCGGAUUUAUUGGGUUUAAAGGGAGCGUAGAUGGGUUGGUAAGUCAGUUGUGAAAGUUUGCGGCUCAACCGUAAGAUUGCAAUUGAUACUGGCAGCCUUGAGUACAGUUGAGGUAAGCGGAAUUCGUGGUGUAGCGGUGAAAUGCUUAGAUAUCACGAAGAACUCCGGUUGCGAAGGCAGCCUACUGAACUGCCACUGACGCUGAGGCUCGAAAGUGUGGGUAGCAAACAGGAUUAGAUACCCCGGUAGUC
rnacentral:rRNA from 1 species